AUCUAAGUAGUUUAAUUAAGAAUCUAAAUUUGUGGAGUUUAAGGUAAUAGAAUAUUCUUAGAUC
rnacentral:tRNA from 1 species